rnacentral:misc_RNA from 1 species
UUUGGCCAGCUGGAAACAAACUUCCGUAUCCGCAUGAACAUUACGAGUCCAUACUUUAUAGUGACGAGGCAAAUAGUUUAUGUCCUGAUAACUUGAUAAAAUCUGGAGGAAUCAGGACAAAUUCAAAAAGGAGCAUAUUCGAUUUAUGGAAUAUUAGUAGUUUUCUUGAACAUUCUGGGCGGAUAUCACAUAUAACGGCAUCACUCCGUGGGUUUUG